AGAAGUAUAGGAGUGAUGAAGUCAGAGGUCAGAGAAGGAGAGUCAACAUGGAGGCAGACGAACAGGAAGACGAUCCAGACCCUGCGUAGUUUUAAACAGCCACAAAUAGAUAAGGUUUUUACAAGGUUCUCACUCUGGCCUGGAACUUCCAACUCAUGGUAAUCAUCCUGCCCCUGGCCUGUGAGUGCUGGGAUUUCAGAUGUGUACCACCUCAGCCAGCUGGAAGGAACGGAAUGUCUUUUGGAUGUGACCCAGCUGUGUCUCCAUGAAGAAAGUCUUGUUCUUUGUCAGCCUGUUUGUUUCUUAGGGCAUCCCUAUUGAAGUUACCACACACCAAAUGUCUGGAAG